UUGGCCAGACUCAGGCGUUUGCUGUGGAGCCCAACCACAUCCCUCCUCCACAUCUGGCCUCCUCCCAGGACUCUGCUCUGCAAUUAGAACAGCUGCCCUCCUUGUCAGCGAGGGAAUGAAAAACAGGAAAGCCAGGUAAACAAGAGCCAUGCUGCCCUGGAUAUACUGCUGGAGGGACGCUUUCUUAUUGGAAGCAGAGAUACUACAAAGGAGAACCUUCAAGGAUGUCCUGGACAGUGUUUUAUGGGCCUGAAGAAUAUGGAAGAGAAGGAAGGCCAGAAGAGGGCACCAGACCUCAUUACAGAUGGUUGUGAGCCACCAUGUGGUUGCUG